GAUGAACGCUGGCGGCGUGCCUAAUACAUGCAAGUCGAGCGAACGGACGAGAAGCUUGCUUCUCUGAUGUUAGCGGCGGACGGGUGAGUAGCACGUGGAUCACCUACCUCUAUGACUGGGAUAACUUCGGGAAACCGGAGCUAAUACUGGAUAAUAUUUUGAACCGCAUGGUUCAAAAGUGAAUGACGGUCUUGCUGUCACUUAUAGAUGGAUCCGCGCUGCAUUAGCUAGUUGGUAAGGUAACGGCUUACCAAGGCCACGAUGCAUAGCCGACCUGAGAGGGUGAUCGGCCACACUGGAACUGAGACACGGGCCAGACUCCUACGGGAGGCAGCAGUAGGGAAUCUUCCGCAAUGGGCGAAAGCCUGACGGAGCAACGCCGCGUGAGUGAUGAAGGUCUUCGGAUCGUAAAACUCUGUUAUUAGGGAAGAACAUAUGUGUAAGUAACUGUGCACAUCUUGACGGUACCUAAACAGAAAGCCACGGCUAACUACGUG
rnacentral:rRNA from 1 species